rnacentral:lncRNA from 1 species
UAAACCUCAUUGUGAUAAUAAGGAACAAAAACUGUGUUCAGUUCUUAUACAGCAUGGUGUGUUCCAGUGCAAGCAGUUAGCACCUUCCAUCAAGCUUCAGGACAUUCCCAGGGUCAGAAGUCUCUAUCAGAAUGAACAUUAUUUCCCCUUGGACAGCUAAAGGCACAGCAGAGUAUGAUGCGGUAUUUGCAAGAAGCCACACUAGCAGUAUCUUUGCUCAUCCCCUCUGCCUUGAUAUUUCUUGAGAAGUGGAUUGCCA